rnacentral:rRNA from 1 species
GACGAACGCUGGCGGCGUGCUUAACACAUGCAAGUCGAACGGAAAGGCCCCUUUGGGGGUACUCGAGUGGCGAACGGGUGAGUAACACGUGAGUAACCUGCCCUUGACUUCGGGAUAACUUCAGGAAACUGGGGCUAAUACCGGAUAGGAAUCCUUGCUGCAUGGUGGGGGUUGGAAAGCUUCGGCGGUUUUGGAUGGACUCGCGGCUUAUCAGCUUGUUGGUGGGGUAGUGGCUUACCAAGGCUUUGACGGGUAGCCGGCCUGAGAGGGCGACCGGCCACAGUGGGACUGAGAGACGGCCCAGACUCCUACGGGAGGCAGCAGUGGGGAAUAUUGCACAAUGGGCGGAAGCCGGAUGCAGCAACGCCGCGUGCGGGAUGACGGCCUUCGGGUUGGAAACCGCUUUCAGCAGGGGCGAAGCUUGUGGUGACGGUACCUGCAGAAGAAGCACCGGCUAACUACGUG